GACGAACGCUGGCGGCGUGCCUAAUACAUGCAAGUCGAACGAGAGCGACCGGUGCUUGCACUGGUCAAUCUAGUGGCGAACGGGUGAGUAACACGUGGGUAACCUGCCCAUCAGAGGGGGAUAACAUUCGGAAACGGAUGCUAAAACCGCAUAGGUCUUCGAACCGCAUGGUUUGAAGAGGAAAAGAGGCGCAAGCUUCUGCUGAUGGAUGGACCCGCGGUGCAUUAGCUAGUUGGUGAGGUAACGGCUCACCAAGGCCGUGAUGCAUAGCCGACCUGAGAGGGUGAUCGGCCACAUUGGGACUGAGACACGGCCCAAACUCCUACGGGAGGCAGCAGUAGGGAAUCUUCCGCAAUGGACGCAUAGUCUGACGGAGCAACGCCGCGUGAGUGAAGAAGGUUUUCGGAUCGUAAAACUCUGUUGUUAGAGAUAGAACAAGUGCUAUGAUGUAAUCUGUUAUGCGC
rnacentral:rRNA from 1 species